UACCAGCACCCCGAGUGGUCGGGACGAUUAUUGGGCCUAAAGCAUCCGUAGCCGGUUCUACAAGUCUUCCGUUAAAUCCACCUGCUUAACAGAUGGGCUGCGGAGGAUACUAUGGAGCUAGGGGGCGGGAGAGGCAAGCGGUACUUAGUGGGUAGGGGUAAAAUCCGUUGAUCCAUUGAAGACCACCAGUGGCGAAGGCGGCUUGCCAGAACGCACUCGACGGUGAGGGAUGAAAGCUGGGGGAGCAAACCGG
rnacentral:rRNA from 1 species